UCUCCCGCUUCUCUGCAGCGCCGGGUAAUAAAAGCCAGCGGCCAGAGUCUGGGGCUGGACUAGAGUUUGCAACACACAGGCGGGGAGGGAGGGAGGGAGGGUGGGUGGGGGGGAUUCCCUAUGUCAGCGGAGCUUUCUGAAAUCGGAACCGUGCAGCAAGGGGAGUCUCCGCUGCAUACUUUUAACCCCCUCCUCUCUGUUUCAUCUGCAUCUGAGAGUCGCUGCCGUUCCGCGGCGUGUGUGAGAUGGCUGCGUUUUUUUUUUUAUUGCAAAGGGAUUGAAUUAUUUUUCAGGGGUCCCAGGACACCAGGUUUCGCCUCAACAUGGAAAUUCCACGUGUUGGCCAUAACUCUGCAGCAUGCAUUCUGCUGAAGUGUGGCGAUCACAGUAGAUCGCCCCUCCCCACACCCCUCCCCUCCCCCCCCCCCCCCCCCCCCCCCCCCGACUCAACAUUUAUACCAAAAAGACGGCGGAGAUCAUCUAUGAACAAAGUUUAAAGCAUGAGAACCGAGUCUGGAAUUAAAGGAGGAUUUGCAGAACAAUUUGCAGGAUAAUAUGAAGUGGAAAAAUGGAUCGAGGACAACGUGGGAUGGCAGCGAUCCGCCAGGGAUGUCCCCAACGACUGCAAACUCUUUGAGAAAAGAGAGACGAGGAGCGCAAGAUGGGACAGUGGAACUCUUUGAAUUAAGAAAUAAAACCGGGCGCCUCGCAGGUUGGGGAAAGUGACGGCGAGGGGUGAAUUUAAAAAAAAAGCGGGACUGUUCAAAUGCAAGGAGAGAAGCCAGCAGAGGAGUGGUCAUCGAUGGAGUCUUGCACACACCAGCGGUCUUUCUCAGCUGAGUCAGCCCGAAAGCAGUGGUCGUCUCAAUUGCAGCGCUUCUGUGCAAAGCAGAACAAAAGAGCACAUGGGCACAAUCAGGGAGGCUCAAAAGCUCCAGGCUAAGACUUGAUCAAAAGCAGAAUCUUGUCAAGACGGAAGUUGGUCAUCGUCCGCAUUCUAAAGAGCCCGAACAUCUUCAAAGCGAUUGACGUAAAAGUUAUUUUUGUGGAUUCUGACCAUUUUAGACAUGUUAGCCCAGGUCACUUGUUAGAGCUUGUUUUUUUAAAAUAACUUUCCAGGAAUCAUAAAACGUCCAAAAUAGCAGUCAGUGGGUUAAUCUGCCAUAGUGCAGAAAUGCAGUAGAGACUUUACAUUUGAACAGAGUACAGACAGUUAAAACUAAAAUCAAUGUUGUUUGUUGUGGCCAGGCUGCCUUUGGUUGGUGUGACCGGUUAAUUUUGUCAACCAUGUUUCCCUUGUUUUUUGAUAACCACCGAACUAUUCUAUUCGGUGUUUUUUCCAAAAGAAAUAAUCAUGCAUCGUGGGGUUUUGAAAAAUUCAUUUACCUCACGGUAGGCCUGGAAUCUGCCUUGGAAUUUAGCAAAAUAACAUUUGGUAUUAAUUGCAUUUGAAUGAACUCCAUUGCAAUCUUUAAACCCCAAUCCAAAUUUUGAUUAGCUGCCUAAUUUCAAAUCCAGAUUGUACCUCGACGUAUUUUGGUAAGAAUAAUUUUUAAUGAGGAUGUCUGCUUAAUGCAAACCUAAAGUUAAGUGGCACCCCACAUUGAAAACACAAUUUACCUAUUAACUUUUCGCAUAAACCAAAUGCUACUUUAAGUCUCCAUUUUCACAAAACUCCUGGCGUGUUUUCGUGCUCGCAUUGAGAUCGUCGACGAAUCGCACCUUUAAAAACAUGAAUGGUUCUCAGUAAAAGAUUAAUAUUUUUCCUGACGUUCAUUUUUAUCGAACGGUUAGCAUCUUUUUUUUAAAGUCUUAAAUACACGUGGUCGCGUGUGGACUUUUAUUUGUGAUUUUGCUGAAUAUUUCCAAGCGAGUUACUCAAGUAUAAAUAAUUGUCAACUAAAAGUUAAAGAGGAUCCACUGUGAAUGAGAUUAAACUCCCGCGGCCUGUAAAGACUGAUUGCAAAGACAUGCUGCAUUCAUUCCAGUGUGUUUGGGUAAAAAACUGCUUCAGAACCGCAAAAAAAAAAAGCAACGUAUUCAUCAUGCAAAGUGUUGGAAAUCGGGCAUAACAUUAUUCUUUGUACUUCCUGAACGUCGAGGCUUAGUAGAAAGAACUUGGCCGCUGGUGAAAGCUUUGCAGUGCGGCGCUGAAGCCACGGCGUUAGAGAGUCUUUGACUUUUUGCACGUUUUUGACCAAGAAGUAGGUGGGUUUGGGUUUGUCUGGCAGUUUCAGCGCCCAGCGUUUGUGUAGACCUGGCACCCAUAUAAGUAGCCGUCCCCGCGUUAAAGCACGGAGAACCCGGCCAGGAAGCAGCGUCUGCUUUGUGGCGCUUUCCACCUUCAUUCAUUCUGCUCUGAAAGCAUUCAUUUCAGCUUUAGGAGCGCUCGGAGCAGAAGAAGGAGAUGAAUUGCGAGCAGUGUCACAUUUGACUCCAUAAAAGAUGGAGGAUUUCUACAUUGUUAAUUCCGGAGGUUGUACGUUGCAAUUUACAAGGCUGUUUAUAUAAAAACACAGUAACUUUCUUAGAUCGCUGUAAACAUGUAGGCGCUGAUUUCGGAGCCAUCUCAUUCUGAUCGCUGUACUCGUGCUUUGCUGGGGCUUUAUUCAAACACGGUUUUACUCGAGAGAGAAAUAAAAGAUAAAACACGUUA